rnacentral:rRNA from 1 species
GGUUAAGUGAAUAAGGGCGCACGGUGGAUGCCUUGGCACUAGGAGCCGAUGAAGGACGGGACUAACACCGAUAUGCUUUGGGGAGCUGUACGUAAGCUAUGAUCCAGAGAUUUCCGAAUGGGGGAACCCAGCAUCUUUAAUAGGAUGUUACGAUUGUGUGAAUACAUAGCACAUUCGAGGUAGACGCAGAGAACUGAAACAUCUAAGUACCUGCAGGAAGAGAAAGAAAAUUCGAUUCCCUGAGUAGCGGCGAGCGAAACGGGAAAAGCCCAAACCAACAAGCUUGCUUGUUGGGGUUGUAGGACUCCGAUAUGGUCGUUCUUUCAGAUAGUCGAAUGACUUGGAAAAGUCAGUCAAAGAGGGUAAAAACCCCGUAGACGAAAUGUGGAAGACACCUAGGAGGAUCCUGAGUACGGCGGAACACGAGAAAUUCCGUCGGAAUCCGGGAGGACCAUCUCCCAAGGCUAAAUACUCCCUAGUGACCGAUAGUGAACCAGUACCGUGAGGGAAAGGUGAAAAGCACCCCGGAAGGGGAGUGAAAUAGAACCUGAAACCGUGUGCCUACAACAAGUCAAAGCCCGUUAAUGGGUGAUGGCGUGCCUUUUGUAGAAUGAACCGGCGAGUUACGAUUGCAUGCGAGGUUAAGUUGAAGAGACGGAGCCGCAGCGAAAGCGAGUCUGAAUAGGGCGUUUGAGUAUGUAGUCGUAGACCCGAAACCAUGUGAUCUACCCAUGUCCAGGUUGAAGGUGCGGUAAAACGCACUGGAGGACCGAACCCACGUACGUUGAAAAGUGCGGGGAUGAGGUGUGGGUAGCGGAGAAAUUCCAAACGAACUUGGAGAUAGCUGGUUCUCUCCGAAAUAGCUUUAGGGCUAGCCUCGGAAUUGAGAAUGAUGGAGGUAGAGCACUGUUUGGACUAGGGGCCCAUCUCGGGUUACCGAAUUCAGAUAAACUCCGAAUGCCAUUCAUUCAUAUCCGGGAGUCAGACUGUGAGUGAUAAGAUCCAUAGUCGAAAGGGAAACAGCCCAGACCACCAGCUAAGGUCCCAAAAUAUAUGUUAAGUGGAAAAGGAUGUGGGGUUGCACAGACAACUAGGAUGUUGGCUUAGAAGCAGCCACCAUUUAAAGAGUGCGUAAUAGCUCACUAGUCGAGUGACCCUGCGCCGAAAAUGUACCGGGGCUAAACAUAUUACCGAAGCUGUGGAGUACACCUUUAGGUGUAUUGGUAGGAGAGCGUUCUAAGGGCGUCGAAGGCAGAUCGUGAGGACUGCUGGAGCGCUUAGAAGUGAGAAUGCCGGUAUGAGUAGCGAAAGACAGGUGAGAAUCCUGUCCACCGAAUGACUAAGGUUUCCUGGGGAAGGCUCGUCCGCCCAGGGUUAGUCGGGACCUAAGCCGAGGCCGAUAGGCGUAGGCGAUGGAUAACAGGUUGAUAUUCCUGUACCCGUUGUUUUUGUUUGAGCAAUGGAGGGACGCAGGAGGCUAAGGAAUGCAGACGAUCGGAAAUGUCUGUCCAAGCAGUAAGUCUGAAGAGGAGUCAAAUGCUUCUUUUCUUAAGGACAAGCUGUGAUGGGGAGGGAAAUAAUAGUACCGAAGUUCCUGAUGUCACACUGCCGAGAAAAGCUUCUAGUGAGAAAACAGCGGCCCGUACCGCAAACCGACACAGGUAGUCGAGGAGAGAAUCCUAAGGUGAGCGAGAGAACUCUCGUUAAGGAACUCGGCAAAAUGACCCCGUAACUUCGGGAGAAGGGGU